UCACCCUGCGAACCUCCCCAGGGCCGGAAGGCAGCAAGGAUAAGCAGGCUCUGGCGGGUGCGCGGGGGGUCCCUCCGUC
rnacentral:SRP_RNA from 1 species